rnacentral:rRNA from 1 species
CCUACGGGAGGCAGCAGUGGGGAAUUUUGGACAAUGGGCGCAAGCCUGAUCCAGCAAUGCCGCGUGAGUGAAGAAGGCCUUCGGGUUGUAAAGCUCUUUUGUCAGGGAAGAAACGGUUGGGGCUAAUAUCCUCGGCUAAUGACGGUACCUGAAGAAUAAGCACCGGCUAACUACGUGCCAGCAGCCGCGGUAAUACGUAGGGUGCAAGCGUUAAUCGGAAUUACUGGGCGUAAAGCGUGCGCAGGCGGUUUUGUAAGUCUGUCGUGAAAGCCCCGGGCUUAACCUGGGAAUUGCGAUGGAGACUGCAAGGCUUGAAUCUGGCAGAGGGGGGUAGAAUUCCACGUGUAGCAGUGAAAUGCGUAGAGAUGUGGAGGAACACCGAUGGCGAAGGCAGCCCCCUGGGUCAAGAUUGACGCUCAUGCACGAAAGCGUGGGGAGCAAACAGGAUUAGAUACCCUGGUAGUCCACGCCCUAAACGAUGCCUACUAGUUGUCGGGUCUUAAUUGACUUGGUAACGCAGCUAACGCGUGAAGUAGACCGCCUGGGGAUACGGUCGCAAGAUUAAAACUUAAUGAAAUUGACGG